rnacentral:rRNA from 1 species
CGGCGGACGGCUCAGUAACACGUCGGUAACCUACCCUCGGGAGGGGGAUAACCCCGGGAAACUGGGGCUAAUCCCCCAUAGGCCUGAGGUACUGGAAGGUCCUCAGGCCGAAAGGGGCUCUGCCCGCCCGAGGAUGGGCCGGCGGCCGAUUAGGUAGUUGGUGGGGUAACGGCCCACCAAGCCGAAGAUCGGUACGGGCCAUGAGAGUGGGAGCCCGGAGAUGGACACUGAGACACGGGUCCAGGCCCUACGGGGCGCAGCAGGCGCGAAACCUCCGCAAUGCGGGCAACCGCGACGGGGGGACCCCCAGUGCCGUGGCAUCGCCACGGCUUUUCCGGAGUGUAAAAAGCUCCGGGAAUAAGGGCUGGGCAAGGCCGGUGGCAGCCGCCGCGGUAAUACCGGCGGCCCGAGUGGUGGCCGCUAUUAUUGGGCCUAAAGC